rnacentral:rRNA from 1 species
AUUGAACGCUAGCGGCAGGCUUAAUACAUGCAAGUCGAGGGGCAGCACGGUUAGCAAUAACUGGUGGCGACCGGCGCACGGGUGCGUAACACGUAUACAAUCUACCUUAAACAGGGGAUAGCCUUUCGAAAGAGAGAUUAAUACCCCGUAAUAAAUUGAACGGCAUCGUUUGAUUUUGAAAGCUCCGGCGGUUUGAGAUGAGUAUGCGUCUGAUUAGCUAGUUGGUGAGGUAACGGCUCACCAAGGCGACGAUCAGUAGGGGAUCUGAGAGGACUAACCCCCACACUGGUACUGAGACACGGACCAGACUCCUACGGGAGGCAGCAGUAAGGAAUAUUGGUCAAUGGAGGCAACUCUGAACCAGCCAUGCCGCGUGCAGGAUGACGGCCCUAUGGGUUGUAAACUGCUUUUGAACGGGAAGAAAUCUAUUUACGUGUAAAUAGUUGACGGUACCGUUAGAAUAAGGAUCGGCUAACUUCGUGCCAGCAGCCGCGGUAAU